rnacentral:lncRNA from 1 species
AAAUCUUCAUGACAGAUGCCGCUUUGGCGACAUUGGCGAAACGACUUGGCGAAUCGAGAGCCGACGGAAAGGCUUCCGCCUACCUGCCAUUCGGCAGUCAGUGUCUAGCGCGGUUUAGAGCUGAAGCAAAAAUUUGAUACAGCAGUUUUUCGUACAAAAAUAAACAAGGAUUUGAUGAUUUUUCGACAUGGGUAUCGCCAGUGAUUAUUUAAUAUAACUGGACUGAAGACUUGAAAUUUAUUCAUAUAAAAGUGAUUUACUAUCCAUCACUGUGGAAGGAAAAGUUCUGUGAUAUCAUCCAGUUUCCUUUAUAUCGACGUAAUUAAGGAUUACUUACCAGGAAUUAAAAAUGGAUUACACAUUCGUUAAACAGCGGAGACGAAGCGCAGAAUGGACGGGAAGAAAAGCCCAGAGUAUAAGAUUGGGAACCUCCCAUCAGCACUCUGAUGUUCAUGAAACCCCUGAACAGCGAAGGUCAAAAACUCGUCCAUCCUGACAGCCCGAUAAUUGAGCAAAAAUGAACAAGUACUGUGCAGUGGCCGCGAAGGAAAUGCAAGAUGCGAGGUAAAAUAACACGCCUCUUCCUCGUUAGGAAAACUUCAUGCUCCUGCCUACUCAGUUCUACGUGAGUAAGGAAGAUGUGCCCGAGGGAUUGCACAUAAAUUGCACUGAAGAACAUCGAUGCCUUAAAACAACUGCCAAAGAGGCAAGAUACAAGUCAUAAAAAAGGGGAAGAAGGAAGGAAGAAGCUUCAAAAUGGAGAAUGCCAUCGAACGGUCACGCUGCGACAUCUAGGGAAGCAGCAAAGAACUACGUUUAUUUGAAGGUACAGCAAUUAGGCAACAGAUGGCAGCACUUGCCAUGGUAAAAAUUAGCCAAGCGAACAGUCAUUUCACCAAGUUGAACAACCAUUUCACGGUAAAAUCAGGGCUUGCUCUUGAGGUGACAUAAUUUAUGAAUUCGUGAAUAAAUAAAAAAAAUACGCAUUAAUAAUAAUAUUUUAUGUAAAAAAUACAGUGCAAAACCUAGAACUAAUCAGAAUUUUUAUAUUUUCAGAUUUGCCAGCAAGUUUUUGUGGCGGUUCCCAACCGCCACAAAAUUGUAAAAAUAAUUACCAGGAAAUUUCUCCCUCUUACUUAAUAUCAAUAAUUAAAAGUCCAGAUCGCAAAAAAUGGAUAAAAUAGCAAGAGAUCCUGCAUUGUUCGAUAUUUUGAACUUCAAAAUAAAAUUGCUAAACUGAAAAAAAAUAUUUUUUCCCCCUUUCCCCUCAAAAUUACGAUUUGAUAUGCAAAAUUGCACACUUUCUUAGAAUUUUCCGCACAAAAUUCCCAGAUUUAGUAAAGAUAAUCAACAUGUCAUACAUAAUUUGUUCACUAUACUAGCUGCUGAAUAUUAUAUAUGCCAAAGUAAUCUUUAUCACCAAUAUUUCAAAAAAUUAAUAAUUCCUAUUAUGUAUUAAAAAAGUUUAAUUUUUUAUUUAAUUCAAAUUUAUUAAUACGAAUUUCAAUAAAACACAUGCAUGUAAAUGAAUAAUUAUCUUUUCAUUCGAAAAAUUGAAGACCAAAGCACAAUAUAAAGAGAAACAGUGAUUUAAUGAAAGUUAACAGUUUUAUUUGAAAUUCUAUACAUAAUAAUUACAUAAAAAUUUGAAAUGUAUCCUAAAUAAAUGAGAAAAAUAGGAAAAAAAUAAUUUCAUACCUUGGAAGAGCUGCUGAACAGUCACAUUUAUAACUGCAUUUCACCAUUCAUUUCUGAAGCUUAGUUUAUAAACUAUUUUACUUUAGUUGUAAAAUUUGUUGUUUUAUGCUAGACUAAUUAAUUUGAAGUUAGAGCUCUUAUGCAGUGAUUUAUAAUCUUACAAAAAUAUUUCAAAAUUUAUUAUUUAAGUGAAUUUUAAUUGUGUUAAAAAUAAUUGUAGUGUUUUUACUUUCCAACUGUAAUGCUUUUUUUUUCUUUUUCAUUCCCUUUUUUGUGUUAAAAAAAUAAUUGUAGUGUUUUUACUUUCCAACUGUAAUGCUUUUUUUUUUUUUUUUUUUUUUCAUUCCCUUUUAAAAUGAUAUUGUUUUUCUCUUAAAAUUUCUCUUGGACAUAAAUAUGGCAUGUGAUAUUCUGUAAACAGUGCUCUUUUUUGCACAUCCAAGAUACAUUUAAUAAAAACAUCUUUUAAACUUCAUAUCAUCAUUACUAACAAAAUACAUGUGUUAUAUUUAUUAUGCAACCAAUAAACAUGCCAUCAAUAUAUAUAAUAUAUAUAUAUAUGCUAUAUUUUCCAGGUAAUACAAACAUUUUUAAAAGUUGGACUUCAUAAUAAAUCCAAUUAUCUUUAAAAUCUUAAUACCUGAAAAGUAUUUGCUAUCAUAGUUUGUCUUUCAUUUUACUGAAGUAAAUUAAAAUUCAUUAAAAUUGUUAAAGAUAACACAUCAAUAUAUCCAAUAUAAGAUAUUUUCAAUUUUACUGAUUUAAAAAUGAAACUAUAAAAUGUAUUAAAAAUCUUUGUUAUUUUAAGAAAUAAGAGUACCAUCACCAUAAUUAUUAACAUGCGCAAUUUAGUUAAGCAUCAGUCAAAAGUACAGGGUGCUCACUUGAUAGAAAGCAUGGCAUGCUUUAAAAUUUAUUUUGGUACAUCUUUUAUUUUUAGCUAACAUUUCAUUUUAAAAGGUAUAACAGAAGAGUUCACAUACAGUAAAACAAAAGGCAAUUUAAUUAAAAAGACAGAAAAAUUUGCACACUCAUAUUUAACUAGGAAAAUACUAAAAUUAACCAUUUAAAAGCAGUUGCACAUGCAAUUUACAUUAAAUAUUGUUUACAUUUUUUCCCCCUUUCCAGGUCAUUCCACAGAGAGAUACUGAUUUAUUUUAAACAUUGAUUUAGCCUAUCCAUGCUUAAGAAGUUUACUCAAUAAAUCAUCUACCUAAUAUUUGAGAUUCUAAAAAGAUAAUAUCGAAUACUAUGAUAUAAAAAUAUAAAUGUCAAGAAACAUAGAAAUAAAAAUAAAUAUAUUUUAAAAUUUACUCUUUUGAAAAAUGUGCCAAAAAUUUGAAAGCUUCAAUAUUAGGCUUCAACUUACUUCCAUUCAUAUACAAGAAUGAUUUAAAAAAAAAAAAAAGUUAUAGUGCAGAAAAAAAGGGAGGAUAUUUU